GGCAGAGCUUUUUGUAUGAGUUUGUGUCACAGUGUGGAGUGUUCGGACAAGGGACCAUGCUGACCGUCCUAGGUCAGGAAAAGGCAGCCCCCAAAGUCACUGUGUUCCCACCCUCCCCUGAGGAACUGGCAACCAACAAAGCCACAAUGGUGUGUCUGGUGAACGACUUCUACCCACGUGCCGUGACAGUGAAAUGGAAGGCAGAUGGCACAACCAUCACCCAGGGCGUGCACACCACCAGCCCCUCCAAACAGAGCAACAACAAGUACGCGGCCAGCAGCUACCUGAGCAUGACUGCCGAGCAGUGCCGAUCUCACAGCACAUACACCUGCGAGGUCACGCACGAGGGGAGCACCGUGGAGAAGAGCGUGACCCCUGCAACAUGUUCUUAGCGCCCCACUUUCCACUGCAUCUCUGGGGCCAAGAGCUAAUGACCCCCAAAAAGGGUCUUCCCCUCUGUCUCAAGUUCUCCUAGCCCUUCCUCCUGAACCUAUAAACUCUCAAUAAAGAUUUUAAUUUCAAUCAGAA